rnacentral:sRNA from 20 species
UGUAUCUGAAGUCUGACGAGGAUGAGAACCUCCGGGGGCAAGAGGUUCGACUUGAGCGAAGCGAGAGAACGUUGCGUCAGCAACGGCCCGCAGGGCGAGCCACGCAGUGGCGAGUCAUCCUCUAUCACCGACCA